GCCUGGAUGGUGGAAUGGGUAGACACGCAGGACUUAAAAUCCUGUAGCUUUAAAUAAGCUGUGUGGGUUCAAAUCCCACUCCAGGUA
rnacentral:tRNA from 1 species